rnacentral:rRNA from 1 species
UUGGAGGGCAAGUCUGGUGCCAGCAGCCGCGGUAAUUCCAGCUCCAAUAGCGUAUAUUAAAGUUGUUGCAGUUAAAAAGCUCGUAGUUGAAUUUCGGGGCCAGUAGGUCGGUCGUGCCACUGGUAUGCACUGGUCUCACUGGUCCCUCCCUCUUGAAGAACCGUGAUGCCAUUAAUUUGGUGUUGCGGGGAAACAGGACUGUUACUUUGAAAAAAUUAGAGUGCUUAAAGCAGGCUUACGCUUGAAUACAUUAGCAUGGAAUAACGAAAUAGGACGAUCGAUUCUAUUUUGUUGGUUUCUAGGAUCGACGUAAUGAUUAAUAGGGAUAGUUGGGGGCAUUAGUAUUCAAUUGUCAGAGGUGAAAUUCUUGGAUUUAUUGAAGACUAACUACUGCGAAAGCAUUUGCCAAGGAUGUUUUCAUUAAUCAAGAACGAAAGUUAGGGGAUCGAAGACGAUCAGAUACCGUCGUAGUCUUAACCAUAAACUAUGCCGACUAGGGAUCGGAUGAAGUUAAUUUUUUAAUGACUCAUUCGGCGCCUUACGGGAAA